AGUGAACGCUGGCGGUAGGCCUAACACAUGCAAGUCGAACGGCAGCACAGUAAGAGCUUGCUCUUACGGGUGGCGAGUGGCGGACGGGUGAGGAAUACAUCGGAAUCUACUUUUUCGUGGGGGAUAACGUAGGGAAACUUACGCUAAUACCGCAUACGACCUACGGGUGAAAGCAGGGGAUCUUCGGACCUUGCGCGAUUGAAUGAGCCGAUGUCGGAUUAGCUAGUUGGCGGGGUAAAGGCCCACCAAGGCGACGACCCGUAGCUGGUCUGAGAGGAUGAUCAGCCACACUGGAACUGAGACACGGUCCAGACUCCUACGGGAGGCAGCAGUGGGGAAUAUUGGACAAUGGGCGCAAGCCUGAUCCAGCCAUACCGCGCGGGUGAAGAAGGCCUUCGGGUUGUAAAGCCCUUUUGUUGGGAAAGAAAAGCAGCAGGUUAAUACCCCGCUGUUCUGACGGUACCCAAAGAAUAAGCACCGGCUAACUUCGUG
rnacentral:rRNA from 1 species